UCACCUUGCCACAUAUGUAUGUAUGUAUAAUAUAUGCAUAUAUAUAUAUAUAUGUAUGUAGGGAGGUAGGUAUAAACAGCAUUGCCCCAUCCCAGGUGGAGAAUUUGCUUUUCUUAUGUUUCAUAUGGCUAGUGAUUGCCCAGCUUCCUAUUCUUUGUCUGUCCAGAUCUCUCCACCCUUGAGAGUCCUCCUAAUUUAGUAUCAUCUACGAAUUUAUUUAAUGUAUUUGUUGGUUUUUCAUGGCUUGCUUCUUGGUAGCAGGAUGGCCAGAGAGGUGGCUUUUGUGAGAAGCUGCUGGAAGCUUCCACCAUGUUCGGCAGAGCCAAUCCCCGAUGGCUCUGAAGAUGGGGGUGCCUCCGGCAGAGCCUGGGCCAGUGAGAGAUGGUGGUAAUGCCUCUGUGAUAACAGAUUCAAGAGGAAAAUCCAACCAAAGGGAGGCACAGGUUUUUUGUUCUAGCCAGAGAAGAGAAGGAGCGUUUUAGAGCAACAAGGUGAAAUUAGAAAGGUAUUGAAGAUCAAGGGACAAGAAUAGAUGAAAAUCAAGUUAGAAUUGAAGAAAAUUUUUCUCUCUUGACUGUAUCAUUCAAUCCAGAGAUGUGGCUGCAUCUACAGAUUGGAAUGAAAAUGGUAUCUUUCUACAGUUUUUUCAGGCUAGAACAAGCCUGGAUGAUGCAUGAUGGAUCAGAAAGGACGCAAGGGGACAGCUGGAUUUCAAUCUUUCAUGCAACUGUUGACAACAGAGAAGACCUAGACACCACUUUUUCUUCUUAUUGGCUCAAGUUUUCUCCCUGUGUUCUCCAGUGCCACAUUCCAGAGCUGCUCGUUUUCCUGAAACUGAUUUUUUUUUAGGCCAUGAUACUUUUAUGUGUUCCGAACCUAUUUCAUAAAGAAUUUGUGCAUGCUUAAUGAUAAUAAAAAAUUUUUACAGAAGGCUUGUUUAUAAAAACAUUAACCUUUAUGGAUAUUGCAUGCACGCAGCUCAUUUAAAAAUUAGGUCAGCUAUUUAAAUGUCAAACUGCAUCCUUGUUGACUGAGUCUUAGAUUUUGUCUUAAACUACUACAUCCACUCUAGCUUUCUAAUUGUUCUGAACAUGUGCAUGAACUUUACCAGAAGAUGACUAUUAUAGUUCAUAUAGAAAUAGUCAAUUUGCCUUUUUCUACCAGAUAUAAGCAAAAGUUCUAAUGAGAUAAAUACAGCAUGAUUUGAAUACAUUUAUCUUUGUGUACUAACAGCUGU